UCCUACGGGGGGCAGCAGUAGGGAAUAUUGCUCAAUGGGCGAAAGCCUGAAGCAGCAACGCCGCGUGCGCGAUGAAGGUCUUCGGAUCGUAAAGCGCUUUUCUGCGAGAUGAGAAAGGACAGUAUCGCAGGAAUAAGUCUCGGCUAACUACGUGCCAGCAGCCGCGGUAACACGUAGGAGGCGAGCGUUAUCCGGAUUCACUGGGCGUAAAGCGCGUGCAGGCGGUUUGGUAAGUUGGGCGUGAAAGCUCCCGGCUCAACUGGGAGAGGUCUUUCAAUACUACCAGACUAGAGAGCAGAAGAGGAAGAUGGAAUUCCCGGUGUAGUGGUGAAAUGCGUAGAUAGCGGGAGGAACACCAGUGGCGAAGGCGAUCUUCUGGUCUGUUUCUGACGCUCAGACGCGACAGCUAGGGUAGUAAACGGGAUUAGAUACCCCGGUAGUCU
rnacentral:rRNA from 1 species